rnacentral:rRNA from 1 species
UACGUAGGGUGCAAGCGUUAAUCGGAAUUACUGGGCGUAAAGCGUGCGCAGGCGGCUUUGCAAGACAGAUGUGAAAUCCCCGGGCUUAACCUGGGAACUGCAUUUGUGACUGCAUGGCUGGAGUGCGGCAGAGGGGGAUGGAAUUCCGCGUGUAGCAGUGAAAUGCGUAGAUAUGCGGAGGAACACCGGUGGCGAAGGCGGCAUCCUGGACCGGCAUUGACGCUGAGGCGCGAAAGCCAGGGGAGCAAACGGG